rnacentral:rRNA from 1 species
CCUACGGGAGGCAGCAGUGAGGAAUAUUGGUCAAUGGACGAGAGUCUGAACCAGCCAAGUAGCGUGAAGGAUGACUGCCCUAUGGGUUGUAAACUUCUUUUAUAUGGGAAUAAAACGUUCCACGUGUGGGAUUUUGUAUGUACCAUAUGAAUAAGGAUCGGCUAACUCCGUGCCAGCAGCCGCGGUAAUACGGAGGAUCCGAGCGUUAUCCGGAUUUAUUGGGUUUAAAGGGAGCGUAGGUGGAUUGUUAAGUCAGUUGUGAAAGUUUGCGGCUCAACCGUAAAAUUGCAGUUGAAACUGGCAGUCUUGAGUACAGUAGAGGUGGGCGGAAUUCGUGGUGUAGCGGUGAAAUGCUUAGACAUCACGAAGAACUCCGAUUGCGAAGGCAGUUCACUGGACUGCAACUGACACUGAGGCUCGAAAGUGUGGGUAUCAAACAGGAUUAGAUACCCCUGUAGUC